AGGUAAGCUACUAAGAGCGAAUGGUGGAUGCCUUGACUGGUAAAGGCGAUGAAGGACGUACUAGACUGCGAUAAGCUACGGGGAGCUGUCAAGAAGCUUUGAUCCGUAGAUUUCCGAAUGGGGCAACCCAAUGUAUAGAGAUAUACAUUACCUAUAUAGGAGCGAACGAGGGGAAUUGAAACAUCUUAGUACCCUCAGGAAAAGAAAUCAAUAGAGAUUGCGUCAGUAGCGGCGAGCGAAAGCGCAAGAGGGCAAACCCAGUGCUUGCACUGGGGGUUGUAGGACUGCAAUGUGCAAGAGCUGAGUUUAGCAGAACAUUCUGGAAAGUAUAGCCAUAGAGGGUGAUAGUCCCGUAUGCGAAAAACAAAGCUUAGCUAGCAGUAUCCUGAGUAGGGCGGGACACGAGGAAUCCUGUCUGAAUCCGGGUCGACCACGAUCCAACCCUAAAUACUAAUACCAGAUCGAUAGUGCACAAGUACCGUGAGGGAAAGGUGAAAAGAACUGAGGUGAUCAGAGUGAAAUAGAACCUGAAACCAUUUGCUUACAAUCAUUCAGAGCACUAUGUAGCAAUACAGUGUGAUGGACUGCCUUUUGCAUAAUGAGCCUGCGAGUUGUGGUGUCUGGCAAGGUUAAGCAAACGCGAAGCCGUAGCGAAAGCGAGUCUGAAUAGGGCGCUUAGUCAGAUGCUGCAGACCCGAAACGAAGUGAUCUAUCCAUGAGCAAGUUGAAGCUAGUGUAAGAACUAGUGGAGGACUGAACCCAUAGGCGUUGAAAAGCCCCGGGAUGACUUGUGGAUAGGGGUGAAAGGCCAAUCAAACUUCGUGAUAGCUGGUUCUCUCCGAAAUAUAUUUAGGUAUAGCGUUGUGUCGUAAUAUAAGGGGGUAGAGCACUGAAUGGGCUAGGGCAUACACCAAUGUACCAAACCCUAUCAAACUCCGAAUACCUUAUAUGUAAUCACAGCAGUCAGGCGGCGAGUGAUAAAAUCCGUCGUCAAGAGGGAAACAACCCAGACUACCAGCUAAGGUCCCUAAAUCUUACUUAAGUGGAAAACGAUGUGAAGUUACUUAAACAACCAGGAGGUUGGCUUAGAAGCAGCCAUCCUUUAAAGAAAGCGUAAUAGCUCACUGGUCUAGUGAUUUUGCGCGGAAAAUAUAACGGGGCUAAAGUAAGUACCGAAGCUGUAGACUUGCACACAACUUAGAUUAUUUAAGUUUAGAAUAUGAGAAACUAAGUUAUAUGUUUAGUUAUAUUUUUACUGAUUUUUAUAGAGUAAAGAUAGAAAUAAAACUUAGUAA
rnacentral:rRNA from 1 species